rnacentral:rRNA from 1 species
AUGAUUUAGUCAUGUGACUGCGUACCUUUUGUAUAAUGGGUCAGCGAGUUAUUUUUAGUGGCGAGGAUAACUGAAUAAGGGAUCCGUAGCGAAAGCGAGUUUUAAUAGGGCGACUAGUCGCUAGGAGUAGACCCGAAACCGGCGCGAUCUAUCCAUGGCCAGGUUGAAGAUUAGGUAGUACUAAUUGGAGGACCGAACCCAAUACUGUUGCAAAAGUAUGGGAUGAGCUGUGGAUCGGAGUGAAAGGCUAAUCAAGCACGGAGAUAGCUGGUUCUCCCCGAAAACUAUUUAGGUAGUGCCUCGUGUAUAACUCAUUGGGGUAAAGCACUGUUUCGACAAUGGGGGUUUUACGACCUUACUGACUCGAUGCAAACUCAGAAUACGAUGAAGUUCGAUCACGGGAGACACACUGCGGGUGCUAAGGUCCGCAGUGGAAAGGGAAACAGCCCAGACCGCCAACUAAGGUCCCAAAGUCAUAGCUAAGUGGGAAACGAAGUGGGAAGGCCCAGACAGCCAGGAGGUUGGCUUAGAAGCAGCCACCCUUUAAAGAAAGCGUAAUAGCUCACUGGUCGAGUCGGCCUGCACGUAAGAUUUAACGGGGCUAAGCUAUGCACUGAAGUUGCGGAAUAUAUUUAGUAUAUUGGUAGGGGAGCGUUCUGUAAGCCGAUGAAGGUGAAUUGAGAAGUUUGCUGGAGGUAUCAGAAGUGCGAAUGCUGACAUGAGUAACGUAAAAUAAGUGAGAUUCUUAUUGGCCGAAAACCCAAGGGUUCCUACGCAAUGUUAAUCAACGUAGGGUAAGCCGGCCCCUAAGGCGUAGCUGAAGAGUGAAGUCGAUGGGAAACAGGUUAAUAUUCCUGUGCUGCUUAUAUGAACGAAGGAGGGACGGAGAAGGUUAGGUAGGCCUGGCGAAUGGUUGUCCAGGUGAAAGUAUGUAGGUAGGAAUGCUAGGCAAAUCCGGUGUUCUGUUGAUCUGAGAUACGAGACGAAGUUAAACUUGUUUGACGAAGCUAUUGAUACCAUGCUUCCAGGAAAAGCUUCUAAGUAUAUUGUAUAAGUGACCGUACUGUAAACCGACACUGGUGGGUAGGUAGAGAAUACUAAGGCUAUGAGAUAACUCUGGUGAAGGAACUAGGCAAAAUGACACCGUAACUUUGGAAGAAGGUGUGCCCUUGAUGGUGAUGAGACUUGCUCUUUGAGCUGUUGGGGGUUGCAGAUACCAGGUGGCUGCGACUGUUUAUCAAAAACACAGCACUCUGCGAAAUCGUAAGAUGAAGUAUAGGGUGUGACGCCUGCCCGGUGCUGGAAGGUUAAUUGAAGGGGUUAGCGCAAGCGAAGCUCUGGAUCGAAGCCCCAGUAAACGGCGGCCGUAACUAUAACGGUCCUAAGGUAGCGAAAUUCCUUGUCGGGUAAGUUCCGACCUGCACGAAUGGCGUAACGAUGGCCACACUGUCUCCACCAGAGACUCAGUGAAAUUGAAAUCGCUGUGAAGAUGCAGUGUACCCGCGGUUAGACGGAAAGACCCCGUGAACCUUUACUAUAGCUUUGCACUGGACUUUGAAUAUUUAUGUGUAGGAUAGGUGGGAGACCAUGAAGCAGCUACGCCAGUAGUUGUGGAGUCGUCCUUGAAAUACCACCCUUGAAUAUUUGAAGUUCUAACUCAGGAGAGAUUCGAGGACAGUGUAUGGUGGGUAGUUUGACUGGGGCGGUCUCCUCCUAAAGAGUAACGGAGGAGUACGAAGGUGCACUCGGUACGGUCGGAAAUCGUGCCAAGAGUAUAAAGGCAAAAGUGCGCUUGACUGCGAGAGUGACGGCUCGAGCAGGUACGAAAGUAGGUCUUAGUGAUCCGGUGGUCCCGAAUGGAAGGGUCAUCGCUCAACGGAUAAAAGGUACUCCGGGGAUAACAGGCUAAUUCCUCCCAAGAGUUCAUAUCGACGGAGGAGUUUGGCACCUCGAUGUC